AACAAACACAAACAUGGUCAGGAGGCUGUCACUCAGAGACAGGCAGAAUCAAGAGCUGGUCCUGGAGAGACCAGUGGGGCUGUGUAGACUGGGGGCUUUGGUUGUUUGCUGAGAGCAGGAAGCUGCAGGAAGAAGGCAGUGGUCCCCAGCCAGAAUCCGGAGUGGCUUGGAGGUGGUCAAAGGUUUGAAGACAGCCACAGUGAAGUGGACAGAGACAAGAAAAAUAGGUACCAAACCGUGCAUCCAGGUAGUCACAGAAAGGAAAUGGGUUUAGAUUGAAGCAAUGUGGGUUAGACCCUGGGGAAACCUUGCAGGGGUCUGUAGGCCUGUGAAGAACUGGACUAGGUGAGAAGAAGAAGCUUUUGACCCAUGUCACUCCCUGGCCCAGAACUAUAUCCUACCCACAGUCCCUGAAGAGGAAGGAGAAGGAAUAUGAGCAUGAAAUGGAGCGGCUGGCACGUGAGAAGAUUGCCACGCAGCAGCGGCUGGCAGAGCUCAAGCACGAGCUGAGCCAGUGGAUGGACGUACUGGAGAUUGACCGUGUGCUGCGGCAGACGGGCCAGCCCGAGGAUGACCAGGCCUCCACCUCCACCGCCUCUGAGGGUGAGGACAACAUAGACGAGCAUAUGGAGGAGGACCGGGCGGGCCUGGGCCCACCUAAGCUGAGCCAUCGUCCCCAGCCGGAGCUGCUGAAGUCCACCCUGCCACCCCCCAGCACCACCCCUGCGCCUCUGCCUCCACACCCACACCCUCACCCCCACUCCGUGGCCCUAUCUCCUGCCCACCUCCCCGUGCAGCAGCAGCAGCCACAGCAGAAGACCCCUCUGCCAGCCCCUCCUCCCCCACCGGCUGCCCCUGCCCAGACACUGGUGCCAGCUCCAGCCCAUCUGGUGGCGACGGCUGGGGGUGGCUCCACGGUCAUCGCCCACA
rnacentral:sRNA from 1 species